AAAGGAUUAGUUAAUCAAAUAACAUUAGUAUGUCAAGCUAAAAUAAUCAAAAAGAUAUCCUUUU
rnacentral:tRNA from 1 species